rnacentral:rRNA from 1 species
AUUGAACGCUGGCGGCAGGCCUAACACAUGCAAGUCGAGCGGUAGAGAGGUGCUUGCAUCUCUUGAGAGCGGCGGACGGGUGAGUAAUGCCUAGGAAUCUGCCUAGUGGUGGGGGAUAACGUUCGGAAACGGACGCUAAUACCGCAUACGUCCUACGGGAGAAAGCGGGGGAUCUUCGGACCUCGCGCCAUUAGAUGAGCCUAGGUCGGAUUAGCUAGUUGGUGAGGUAAUGGCUCACCAAGGCGACGAUCCGUAACUGGUCUGAGAGGAUGAUCAGUCACACUGGAACUGAGACACGGUCCAGACUCCUACGGGAGGCAGCAGUGGGGAAUAUUGGACAAUGGGCGAAAGCCUGAUCCAGCCAUGCCGCGUGUGUGAAGAAGGUCUUCGGAUUGUAAAGCACUUUAAGUUGGGAGGAAGGGUAGUAACCUAAUACGUUGCUACUUUGACGUUACCGACAGAAUAAGCACCGGCUAACUUACGUGCCAGCAGCCG